UGUAUUGUAAUGGGUCGCUGGU
rnacentral:siRNA from 1 species